rnacentral:rRNA from 1 species
AACGAACGCUGGCGGCAGGCCUAACACAUGCAAGUCGAGCGCACCUUCGGGUGAGCGGCGGACGGGUUAGUAACGCGUGGGAACGUGCCCAGAUCUAAGGAAUAGCCACUGGAAACGGUGAGUAAUACCUUAUACGCCCUUCGGGGGAAAGAUUUAUCGGAUUUGGAUCGGCCCGCGUUAGAUUAGAUAGUUGGUGGGGUAACGGCCUACCAAGUCUACGAUCUAUAGCUGGUUUUAGAGGAUGAUCAGCAACACUGGGACUGAGACACGGCCCAGACUCCUACGGGAGGCAGCAGUGAGGAAUAUUGGACAAUGGAGGCAACCCUGAUCCAGCCAUGCCGCGUGAGUGAAGAAGGCCUUAGGGUUGUAAAGCUCUUUCAAUAGCGAAGAUAAUGACGGUAACAACAGAAGAAG